rnacentral:rRNA from 1 species
GGGCUACCCAAAGUGCUCCAUAUAGGAGCUGUGGUAGGUGCGUAAUGUUCCCUACUAGAAAGGAGAGGGCAAGGCUGGUGCCAGCCGCCGCGGUAAAACCAGCUCUUCAAGUGGUCGGGAUAAUUAUUGGGCUUAAAGUGUCCGUAGCUGGUAAGGUAAGUUCCUGGUAAAAUUGGGCAGCUUAACUGUCCUUAUGCUAGGAAUACUGCUUUACUAGAGGGCGGGAGAGGUCUGAGGUACUACAGGGGUAGGAGUGAAAUCUUAUAAUCCUUGUAGGACCACCAGUGGCGAAGGCGUCAGACUGGAACGCGCCUGACGGUGAGGGACGAAAGCCAGGGGAGCGAACCGGAUUAGAUACCCGGGUAGUCCUGGCCGUAAACGAUGCACACUAGAUGAUGGUGCGGCCAUGAGCCGUAUCAGUGUCGUAGGGAAACCGUUAAGUGUGCCGCCUGGGAAGUACGGUCGCAAGGCUUAAACUUAAAGGAGUUGGCGGGGGAGCACCACAAGGGGUGAAGCCUGCGGUUCAAUUGGACUCAACGCCGGGCAACUUACCAGGGGAGACAGCAGAAUGAAGGUCAGGUUGACGACCUUACCUAACAAGCUGAGAGGAGGUGCAUGGCCGUCGCCAGUUCGUGCUGUGAGGUAUCCUGUUAAGUCAGGCAACGAACGAGACCCGUGCCUUUAUUUGCCAUCAAGAAGUCACGACUUCGUUGGGAACGAUAAAGGGACUGCCGUCGAUAAGACGGAGGAAGGAGCGGGCAAAGGCAGGUCAGUAUGCCCCGAAACCCCUGGGCUACACGCGGGCUGCAAUGGUGCGAACAAUGGGCUGUGACUCCGACAGGAGAAACCAAUCCCGAAAUCGCAUCUCAGUUGGGAUUGUCAACUGUAACCCGUUGACAUGAACGUGGAAUCCCUAGUAAUCGCGUGUCACCAU